GCAGCCCCACAAAUCCUUGGAUGAUUCCCAGGGAUUUGAAACCUCAGCAAGUGCCACAAUCCCAAAAAAAACCAGGGAAUGGGGGGAUUUUCCAGCCCCACAAAUCCUUGGAUGAUUCCCAGGGAUUUGAAGCCUCAGGAGGUGCCCUGAUCCCAAAAAAACCCUGGGAAUGGGGGAUUUUCCAGCCCCACAAAUCCUUGGAUGGAUCCUUGGAUGUUCCCAGGAUUAGGAAACCUCAGGAGGUGCCUCGAUCCCAAAAAAACCCCUGGGAAUGGGGGAUUUUCCAGCCCCACAAAUCCUUGGAUGUUCCCAGGGAUUUGAAACCUCAGGAGGUGCCACAAUCCCAAAAAUCCCUGGGAAUGGGGGGAUUUUCCAGGCUCCCAAAUCCUUGGAUGAUUCCCAGGGAUUUGAAGCCUCAGGAGGUGCCACAAUCCCAAAAAAAUCCCUGGGAAUGGGGGGUUCCUCCAAUCCCACAAAUCCUUGGAUGAUUCCCAGGAAUGUGAAACCUCAGCAAGUGCCACAAUCCCAAAAAAACGCUGGGAAUGGGGGGAUUUUCCAGCCCCACAAAUCCUUGGAUGGAUCCUUGGAUGUUCCCAGGAUUAGGAAACCUCAGGAGGUGCCUCGAUCCCAAAAAAAACCCUGGGAAUGGGGGAUUUUCCAGGCUCCCAAAUCCUUGGAUGAUUCCCAGGGAUUUGAAGCCUCAGGAGGUGCCACAAUCCCAAAAAAAUCCCUGGGAAUGGGGGGUUCCUCCAAUCCCACAAAUCCUUGGAUGAUUCCCAGGAAUGUGAAACCUCAGGAAGUGCCACAAUCCCAAAAAAACCCAGGGAAUGGGGGGAUUUUCCAGCCCCACAAAUCCUUGGAUGAUUCCCAGGGAUUUGAAGCCUCAGGAGAUGCCCUGAUCCCAAAAAAAUCCCUGGGAAUGGGGGGUUCCUCCAAUCCCACAAAUCCUU